rnacentral:tRNA from 1 species
GAGGCUUUAGCUUAGUUAAAGUGUAUGAGUUGCAUUCAUGAGAUGGACUAUUGAAUUGUCCAGGCCUU